rnacentral:rRNA from 1 species
UACGAAGGGGGCUAGCGUUGUUCGGAAUUACUGGGCGUAAAGCGCACGUAGGCGGAUACUUAAGUCAGGGGUGAAAUCCCGGGGCUCAACCCCGGAACUGCCUUUGAUACUGGGUAUCUCGAGUCCGGAAGAGGUGAGUGGAAUUCCGAGUGUAGAGGUGAAAUUCGUAGAUAUUCGGAGGAACACCAGUGGCGAAGGCGGCUCACUGGUCCGGUACUGACGCUGAGGUGCGAAAGCGUGGGGAGCAAAGCAGG